rnacentral:rRNA from 1 species
AUGGUGCGGAAUUUUUGGUGGGGAUCUUCAGAGGGCAAGAGGAAAACUCACUGGUUGGCAUGGCCAAAAAUUCUGGCGCACAAAUCCCAGGGCGGAUUGGGUUUCAAGGACUUGCGGGUGUUCAACCAAGCUCUUCUCGCGAGACAGGCAUGGCGCUUGCUAACUAAGCCUGAUAGUUUAUGUGCGCAGGUGUUAAAGGCUCGGUAUUAUCCUGAUGGACGCCUUGAGGAUGCGGUAUUUGCGGGAAAUGCUUCGCCUGCUUGGCAGGUCAUCCAGCAUGGCCUCGUGCUCCUGAAGAAGGGCAUCAUCUGGCGUGUCGGGAGUGGACAGAGCAUCUGCAUCUGGCGGGACCGCUGGGUGCCCCGGGAGCCUUCAUGCCAGCCCAUUACACAGCAAGGCACCUGCCGACUGAGACGAGUGGCGGAUCUUCUGGAUGAUGCCGGCGCUUGGCGGAUGGACUUGCUACACCGACACUUCCUCCCGGCAGACAUUGACGCGAUCACCAGUAUUCGGACCUCGCCCCACAUCACCGAUGACAUUAUCGCAUGGGCGCCGGAGAAGAACGGUAUCUUCACCGUUCGAUCCGCCUAUCGCUUCGCCAUGGACGAGCGCGAACGUCCACUGGCUACCGCCACGAGCAGGGCACCGGAUGGUCGUCGCGCCAUCUGGAAGAUCAUAUGGCGGUGCCCUGCCCCCCCCUAA